UACGUAGGGGGCUAGCGUUGUCCGGAUUUAUUGGGCGUAAAGAGCGUGUAGGCGGCCAGAUAGGUCUGCUGUGAAAACUCGAGGCUCAACCUCGAGAUGUCGGCGGAAACCAUUUGGCUAGAGUCCGGAAGAGGAAAGUGGAAUUCCUGGUGUAGCGGUGAAAUGCGCAGAUAUCAGGAAGAACACCCGUGGCGAAGGCGGCUUUCUGGGACGGUACUGACGCUGAGACGCGAAAGCCAGGGGAGCAAACGGG
rnacentral:rRNA from 1 species